CCUACGGGAGGCAGCAGUGAGGAAUAUUGGUCAAUGGGCGAGAGCCUGAACCAGCCAAGUCGCGUGAGGGAGUACUGCCCUAUGGGUUGUAAACCUCUUUUGUCGGGGAGCAAAAGCCGGACGUGUCCGGCUGUGAGAGUACCCGAAGAAAAAGCAUCGGCUAACCCCGUGCCAGCAGCCGCGGUAAUACGGAGGAUGCGAGCGUUAUCCGGUUUUAUUGGGUUUAAAGGGUGCGCAGGCGGAUUUUUAAGUUAGCGGUAAAAUCGUGGGGCUCAACCCCAUCCAGCCGUUGAAACUGGGGAUCUAGAGUGUGCGAGAGGUAUGCGGAAUGCGUGGUGUAGCGGUGAAAUGCAUAGAUAUCACGCAGAACCCCGAUUGCGAAGGCAGCAUACCGGUGCACAACUGACGCUCAGGCACGAAAGCGUGGGUAUCGAACAGGAUUAGAUACCCCAGUAGUC
rnacentral:rRNA from 1 species